rnacentral:rRNA from 1 species
UACGGAGGGGGUUAGCGUUGUUCGGAAUUACUGGGCGUAAAGCGCGCGUAGGCGGACCAGAAAGUUGGGGGUGAAAUCCCGGGGCUCAACCCCGGAACGGCCUCCAAAACUCCUGGUCUUGAGUUCGAGAGAGGUGAGUGGAAUUCCGAGUGUAGAGGUGAAAUUCGUAGAUAUUCGGAGGAACACCAGUGCGAAGGCGGCUCACUGGCUCGAUACUGACGCUGAGGUGCGAAAGUGUGGGGAGCAAACAGG